rnacentral:pre_miRNA from 14 species
AAUCCAGAGCAAUUUUUGCACUAGAAUAGAUUCUGGAUACAAAUCUCAGUGUCCAGUACCUAUGUGUAGUACAAAAAUCGCAAUCUUGGAUUGU